GUGCUUGCUUUGGCAACACAUACACUAAAAUCAGAACAAUACAGAGAAGAUUAGCAUGGUCCCUGCCCAAGGAUGACACGCAAAUUCGUGAGGCAUUCCAUAUUUUU
rnacentral:snRNA from 1 species